rnacentral:rRNA from 1 species
UAAUGUCUGGGAAACUGCCUGAUGGAGGGGGAUAACUACUGGAAACGGUAGCUAAUACCGCAUAACGUCGCAAGACCAAAGAGGGGGACCUUCGGGCCUCUUGCCAUCAGAUGUGCCCAGAUGGGAUUAGCUUGUUGGUGGGGUAACGGCUCACCAAGGCGACGAUCCCUAGCUGGUCUGAGAGGAUGACCAGCCACACUGGAACUGAGACACGGUCCAG